rnacentral:lncRNA from 1 species
GUCUCCGGCGUCGCGCUCGGGCGCCCGCUCUCCCCACAUUUCCCCGUGUGCAGGCUGUAACCCGAUCUCCCAUUUCCUGGUGGAUUCUCUUAAAGAGGCAGCGGUCGAGAAGCAGAACAAAGGCUAUUGUUUUAUUUCCUCCUUCGGAUUCCGCGUCCUAACCGGAAUGGCCCUUCAUAGAUAAUUACUUUCGUUGCAUCUGCGCUUAGUGAAACGUUUCAAAACCCUUGUGCACAUCGAUGUAUCCAAGAGACGGAGCCAGGGGAGGUGGGAGGAGUUUAAUAAAACCUGUUUUGUGGUGUCUGGGGCCACAAUGUAACGUUUUUUAAAGGU